UACGAAGGGGGCUAGCGUUGCUCGGAAUUACUGGGCGUAAAGCGCACGUAGGCGGGUCAUUAAGUCGGGGGUGAAAUCCUGGAGCUCAACUCCAGAACUGCCUCCGAAACUGAUGAUCUUGAGUUCGGGAGAGGUGAGUGGAACUGCGAGUGUAGAGGCGAAAUUCGUAGAUAUUCGCAAGAACACCAGUGGCGAAGGCGGCUCACUGGCCCGAUACUGACGCUGAGGUGCGAAAGCGUGGGGAGCAAAUGGG
rnacentral:rRNA from 1 species